ACCCUAUUAGUAUAACCGUACAGCUGGCUUCCAACCAUCAAGUUCCAGCCAACCCCUGGAAUAGGGUA
rnacentral:tRNA from 1 species